rnacentral:ncRNA from 2 species
AACUGAGAUAGAGGCGCAAAAUUUAAGAGUAGCACUGCAGAGGUAAGUACUAUGAAGCAGUUUGAAAGGAAAUUUUGCCGAAACUUAUAGCAGAUGCUUUAAUGCUAUAUAGUUGGGCUUUGUAUAGAAUAUGUACAGGACUGUCACAAAGUUUAUUUUGUGGAGAGCUAUCAUUCAU